GCCAGGGUGGCCUAGUGGUUUGAUUGUUGGACUGCAACUCUGGAGAUCUGGAUUCGAUUCCAACUCAGCCA